ensembl:lncRNA
AAUUGUUUGAUUGUUCGGUUUUCUCUCUAUUAUUGUAGGGUCUUUAACAUACAACAGCAAGUACUUUGUAGUGACUGCCAGUAAAAUUGAAUUGAAUUUAAAAAAAUCUUUAAAGUCACAUCAGGAAGAUUAUCUUUUUCAUUUACAUUAAUUUUAAGGAUGCCAUUAUAUUUCUUUGUCUUCCAGUUGCCACCGGUUCAACAGACAGAACUCAUCGGAAGUUCGCCUGUCUUCCCAAGCCCUAUUAUGUUAUCUCCUACAUCCAUGCCUCCAGCAGGAGUUCCUUUCAUCCCCACAGAGUUCGAUCCAACAAAGUUGGCAGCAGGAAGUAUAAAAUCUCCAGAGAUGUCCACAGAAGAUCCUAAAGGAGACAAAGGUGCUUCUGUUGAUGUCAUGACUGCCAACCAGCUGGGGCAUCCCACAUCACCAGUAAUGACCCUGCCGAGCCCUGCUAUCAUGCAGGGACCCAGCCCGGGUAUGCCACCUCUGCAGCCGCCUCCCGGCAUGACAAAUCCUCAUAUGCCUCCUUUCCUCUCACCUCCAAGCAUGCCACAAAUGCCCCCACAAAUGAUGCCCGGAGGACCCAUGUUUCCAUCAGACAGGUUCAGAAUGCCCAUGCCAUUCCCUCCUCGUGGUCCCCCUUUCCAUCGACACCCUUCCAUGGGACCCGAGAGCAUAAAUGACAGGGAAGCAAGGCAAUUCCGAAAUGGGAGGCCUGGAUUUGGGUGUCCACCUUUUCACAGAGGGAGGUGGUAAAUGCAAGAGGACUAAUGAACCUAUGGAAAGGAGCGGGGUUGAUGUGGAACCACUGUGAUAAAGACUGCUGUUAUCUGUGAGUGGUGCAUAAAAAAACUUGUCACUGCACCAGAUCCCUUUCCUGGCGUCCAAAAUGAAAAGGAAUACACUAUUUUGUGAUGUGAUACCAACUUCUUUAAGUUCAUCAACCAAGAGAUUUGUUGCUGUAAAUAACGUAAUUGCUUGUAGCUGUUUGCUAUUUUUUUGUAUACUUAAAAGUUGUGGAGUUUAUGGUUGAGUCUUUAAUUGGUAGGUGCAGGUACAAACAAAGGCAAUGUCUGUAUUUUUGAGCAUAUUCCUUUAUCAGAGUUUUGUGUAUGGAAGAAAAUUAUAUAACAUUUUUGGUAUUUUGUUUUUAGUAGACUGCCUUUGUACUACCCUGAUAUUUAAGUCUUCACAUGAAAAAAAAAGUUUUCAUUUGAAGAAUAUUUCAUUCCUGCCAGUAGAGGGUAGAGUACACCCUUUUUCCUAAGGUCACACCUUGUAGGAUCAUGUGGAGUGAAUAUUAAAAAGAGGUACUGCCAUUUGAUCAUGUGAUGUAUUUGUGUUGAUCAAACUUAUUUUGUUAAUAAAUUGUCCUGCAUGAGGGGUUUUAACAUAACAGAAAUUUCAGGAACCUUUGGCAUAGAUCCUGUGAUAUUUGUUUUAAAUGAAGUUGUUUCAUACCUUGGCGC